rnacentral:rRNA from 1 species
UACGAAGGGGGCUAGCGUUGUUCGGAUUUACUGGGCGUAAAGCGCACAUAGGCGGACUAUUAAGUCAGGGGUGAAAUCCCGGGGCUCAACCCCGGAACUGCCUUUGAUACUGGUAGUCUUGAGUUCGAGAGGGGUGAGUGGAAUUCCGAGUGUAGAGGUGAAAUUCGUAGAUAUUCGGAGGAACACCAGUGGCGAAGGCGGCUCACUGGCUCGAUACUGACGCUGAGGUGCGAAAGCGUGGGGAGCAAACAGG